GGUUGAUUCUUCUUUCCUGUGCUCACUGAGGCAGCUUGAAUAUACCCAGUAGUUCGCUGGUAGCUAAAGGGACAGAACUGCACUUCCAGGUCCAGGUUGCUGUUUUGCAACCAAUCCUCUCGACCGCUUCCCCCAAUGAUGACGGCCCGUGUUGGAUCAGCAGCUAAGCCAGUUCAUCAGGAUGACAACUUUUCAGAGUGACUUUUCAGAAUGCC
rnacentral:lncRNA from 11 species